rnacentral:rRNA from 1 species
UACGUAGGGGGCUAGCGUUGUCCGGAUUUAUUGGGCGUAAAGAGCGUGUAGGCGGCCAGGUAGGUCUGGUGUGAAAACUCGAGGCUUAACCUCGAGAUGUCAUCGGAAACCAUCUGGCUAGAGUCCGGAAGAGGAGAGUGGAAUUCCUGGUGUAGCGGUGAAAUGCGCAGAUAUCAGGAAGAACACCAAUGGCGAAAGCAGCUCUCUGGGCCUUACCUGACGCUGAGGAGCGAAAGCGUGGGGAGCGAACAGG